rnacentral:rRNA from 1 species
UAGUUAUUAUAGCAAAGAGGAUACACCUGUUCCCAUUCCGAACACAGAAGUUAAGCUCUUUAGCGCCGAUGGUACUUGGUGGGAAGCUGCCU